AUCUAGCUGACAGGUCCGAAAUAGGACGAAACGUGCGUCCUGGAU
rfam:Schistosoma margrebowiei strain Zambia genome assembly, scaffold: SMRZ_contig0001568